rnacentral:rRNA from 1 species
UACGAGGGGUCCUAGCGUUGUUCGGAAUCAUUGGGCGUAAAGGGUGUGUAGGUGGCCUUAUAAGUCAGGUGUGAAAGCCCCGGGCUCAACCCGGGAAGUGCAUCUGAUACUGUUUGGCUUGAGUACCGAAGAGGAUAGUGGAAUUCCAGGUGUAGUGGUGAAAUACGUAGAGAUCCGGAAGAACACCGGAGGCGAAGGCGGCUUGCUGGGCUUGGUCUGACGCUGAGGCGCGAAAGCGUGGGGAGCGAACAGG